UACGUAGGGGGCAAGCGUUGUCCGGAAUUACUGGGCGUAAAGGGCGCGUAGGCGGCCUUCUAAGUCGGACGUGAAAUCCCUCGGCUUAACCGAGGAACUGCGUCCGAUACUGAAAGGCUUGAAUCCGGGAGAGGGAUGUGGAAUUCCAGGUGUAGCGGUGAAAUGCGUAGAUAUCUGGAGGAACACCGGUGGCGAAGGCGGCAUCCUGGACCGGCAUUGACGCUGAGGCGCGAAAGCUAGGGGAGCAAACGGG
rnacentral:rRNA from 1 species